GUUAAGUUUUAUUCUUGCUUGUAUUAUUUAUUGUAAUAUUUCUUUGUAUACAUUUUUUUGUUUUGAAUUUAAUUCUAGAAGUUAUUGAGAUUUAUUGUAGUGAUAAGUAUUAUUUUAUUUAGGUAACUAUGAUUUAGAUAUUGUUAUGAUUGUUGAUUAAAUAUGUGCCAGCAAUCGCGGUUAGACAUAAAAUGAGAGUAUAUAUUUUCGGUUAAUUGUGGUUAUUUUGUUUUUGUAUAUUUUUGUCUUGAUUGUUAAUUAGGUGGAAUUAUUAAUUUUUGUUUUAUUUUUGGUUUUAUAGUUAGGAGGCCAUGAAAUUUAAGGUAUAUAAACUAGGAUUAGAUACCCUAUUAUUUUUUAUGUAAAUAUGUUGACUUGGAUAGUAUUAGAAUUGUUCUUGAAACUUAAAGAAUUUGGCGGUGUCUAAUUUUUUUAGAGGAACCUGUUCCUUAAUAGAUGAUCCACGGUGAACCUUACUUUUUUUGUGUAGUUUGUAUAUCGCCGUUGUUGAAUUUUUUUUUAGAAUUUUAACUUUCUUGAUUUUUUAUUAAUAAGUAUUUCAGGUCAAGGUGCAGCUUAUAAUUUUAGUGGAAAUGGGUUACAAUUUUUUGUUAGAAUAUGGAUUUUUGUUUGUAAUAGUUUUUUGAAGGUGGAUUUGAUAGUAAUUUUAUAUAGAUUGUUAAGAUGAAUUGAACUCUUAGAUAUGUACAUAUCGCCCGUCGCUCUCGUAAUGUUUAUUUAAUAUGAGAUAAGUCGUAACAAAGUAGAUUUACUGGAAAGUGUAUCUAGAAUUAA
rnacentral:ncRNA from 1 species